GCAGCUGCGGUAGAGUGAGCGCAAUGGAGAGAGAUGCUAGACUAGAGAGUAGAGACCUCUCGCAACUUCCCUGGCAAUGUGGUUUUCCAAUCCAGUCUAGAGGCUCUCUCUCCCCAUCAUCCCAAUCAUAAGAUGAUUCGCCGGACUUCUUAUCGGCAUCAGUUCGUAUACCAAAACCUUCUCCUGUCCUUCCCCACAAAUACAUUACUAUUUCCUCCCCUCAGCUUUACUAGAUUGGGAUGCCCCAAGCAUGCAUUUGGACGUCUUUGUUUCCUCCCGGUGAAACAGGACUUUAAUUGCUACAAUCUCAUGAGCCUGCAUCUUCAUCAAUUCCAGGGCAUAUACAAAUAAAAGUUUUCAAGUACUAGCUAGCGGUAUGGUCACGCAGCUAAUGAAAUGUAAGAAAAGUCCUGAAGAAUUUGCUAAUGAACCAGAUGCAGAAGCGGCCCUCUAUAAUGGUUUUAACUUGAUUGUUGAUCAUCUUUGAUCAAUGUCCAUGCUCUACAUCACCAACUGCCAAAAGACAGCGGCAUUAUUGCUACACAGUUUCUCCUGCUAUUCAUGUCUUGUCUAAUGCAAAACUCUGACAGGCCAGCCCAUGCCCUAAGUUUGAUCAGGAACGGACGAAGCUUUGAACAGUUGUGGACAUUUCAGGCAAAAAGGCAGUUGAAUUAGGAGAUUUCCUUGGGGCAUGUUUGUGUUCUAAAUUUUAGUCUCUUCGUUGAAGUUAUUUUCAAUUUUCACGCAUAUUGUCAUUUUUAUAGUCCCGCAAUCAAAGCAACAUUCUACUUUGCAUGUUUAUUAGACCAUAAGUUUAUAUCACUGCAGGCUGAAAGAUUGGAGCAAAGUUUCAAGGAUCCAAUGGAUAAUAUGGCGAAGGAGAGGUUCCCUUAAAAGAGACGUCUAAAAAGUUAAUGCAUGGCACCACUAAAUGUUUUCUGGACUGGGACUAUCAUUUGAGUUCCAUAUUUGUUGAUGCUGAUUUGCCUAUGUUAAUCUCGCUCUCUCUCUCUCAUGCCCUCGGGCUCACAAGUUGUGUACGUGCAUGCUAGUGUUCAUGUGAAUGACCAUUGAAACAUGUCUUUUUGCGUAUGCUGAAGAAUAUCUCAAUGCGCUCAAAGAUUCUUUAAUUUAUGUUUAAUGCACAGGGACGUUAUGGUACUAGAAGUACGUCUGCAUUGACUAUGAAUACAAGUGGGAACAUGCCAUUUUUUGAAAAGUAUCUUGAUGCAGACUUGUUGAAGACGCAGACCAUCAGCUUCCAGAUUAGGCAAGAAAAGAUGACAUUGUGUCCUCUAUCAAGAAUGUUAAAACUAAACAAACCUGUAACACAUAUAGGUAAAUCUACUUUACAAUACUUGUAUCUACAGCAAAAUAGUUGUGUUCAUCCUGUUUUUUGUUGUUCCUUUUUCAUUAUUCCGUCCAUAUUCUGAACAUGUGAAUAAACCUCUCAGUUAAUAUGCCCUGUUUGAAGAUUGUUUGGGGAUGAACUAACUUGAAGCAUAUGAAGUCUCUCAGAUUUCAGAACUUUGUCACCCUAUGGCACCAACAUGCUCUUUUUUCCUAGUUUAGCUAGUUGAUUUUAAAGAGGCUUCUAGGCUGGCUUACAUAAUUCAAAAAUGUUAAAACCAGUCAGUUGCGGCUCCAAGAGUUUCAGAAGAACUAGUAACAUCCAUAGCUGGUGCCCCACUGGCUGCAAAUUUUCAAGAAGCAAGCUGGCUGAGAUGCAUAACUUAACUCUAGCGUAACUUGUGUUCUAAUGCUCUAUUUGCUGUAUUUUCUUUUCUUGAGUGCCCAUUCCAUGAACAGAAGGACCUCUGUUCCUAAAAGAAAGAAGCAUGUGAACAGAGAAAAACUUUCACUACUUCCUCUCAGUAUAGCAAGUAAAAGAUUAAUUCAAUUGCAAUGGAAAACAGUACAGAUGAACAAAACAUGGAGGAGGAACUCCUGCUGCUAUUGGUUGUUUUGAUUCCUGAAAUUAGUUAAUGGUUGGAUGUUUCUCAAGGCUAGUAUCCUGAAAAAGGAGGCACCUUUUUCAAAGGUAAUUUGCACUUAUUUUUUUUUUCUCUCUCUUGUGUUCCUUGACAUUCAAUUUAAUAUGGGUCUCAGUAGUAA